rnacentral:rRNA from 1 species
CAAUAGCGUAUAUUUAAGUUGUUGCAGUUAAAAAGCUCGUAGUCGGAUUUUGGCUGAGAACGAACGGUCCGCCGUUAGGUGUGCACUGUUUGGUCUCAGCUUCCUGGUGAGGAGGUGUGCUUCACGGCCACUUAGUCACCGUGGUUACUUUGAAAAAAUUAGAGUGUUCAAAGCGGGCUUACGCUUGAAUAUAUUAGCAUGGAAUAGCACCAUAGGACUCCUGUCCUAUUUCGUUGGUCUCGGGACGGGAGUAAUGAUUAAGAGGAACAGUUGGGGGCAUUCGUAUUUCAUUGUCAGAGGUGAAAUUCUUGGAUUUAUGAAAGACGAACUUCUGCGAAAGCAUUUGCCAAGGAUGUUUUCAUUGA